rnacentral:rRNA from 1 species
GCAGAGCAUCCUACGGGAGGCAGCAGUGGGGAAUAUUGCACAAUGGGCGCAAGCCUGAUGCAGCCAUGCCGCGUGUAUGAAGAAGGCCUUCGGGUUGUAAAGUACUUUCAGCAGUGAGGAAGGUGGGUAUGUUAAUAGCAUAUUCAUUUGACGUUAGCUGCAGAAGAAGCACCGGCUAACUCCGUGCCAGCAGCCGCGGUAAUACGGAGGGUGCGAGCGUUAAUCGGAAUUACUGGGCGUAAAGCGCAUGCAGGUGGUUUGUUAAGUCAGAUGUGAAAGCCCCGGGGCUCAACCUCGGAAUUGCAUUUGAAACUGGCAAACUAGAGUACUGUAGAGGGGGUAGAAUUUCAGGUGUAGCGGUGAAAUGCGUAGAGAUCUGAAGGAAUACCGGUGGCGAAGGCGGCCCCCUGGACAGAUACUGACACUCAGAUGCGAAAGCGUGGGGAGCAAACAGGAUUAGAUACCCUGGUAG